rnacentral:rRNA from 1 species
UACGUAGGGUGCGAGCGUUAAUCGGAAUUACUGGGCGUAAAGCGUGCGCAGGCGGUGAUGUAAGACAGUUGUGAAAUCCCCGGGCUCAACCUGGGAACUGCAUCUGUGACUGCAUCGCUGGAGUGCGGCAGAGGGGAUGGAAUUCCGCGUGUAGCAGUGAAAUGCGUAGAUAUGCGGAGGAACACCGAUGGCGAAGGCAAUCCCCUGGGCCUGCACUGACGCUCAUGCACGAAAGCGUGGGGAGCAAACAGG